UGGCACAGUCGUUAAGUGCUUGGCUGCUAACCAAGAGGUUGGUGGUUCAAACCCACC
rnacentral:tRNA from 1 species